rnacentral:rRNA from 1 species
UACGUAGGGACCAAGCGUUGUCCGGAAUCAUUGGGCGUAAAGAGCGUGUAGGCGGCUUGUUAAGUCUUGCGUGAAAUCUCGGGGCUCAACCCCGAGCGGUCGUGAGAAACUGGCAGGCUAGAGUGCGGGAGAGGAGAGUGGAAUUCCUGGUGUAGCGGUGAAAUGCGCAGAUAUCAGGAGGAACACCGGUGGCGAAGGCGGAUCUCUGGGCCUUACCUGACGCUCAGGCGCGAAAGCUAGGGGAGCGAACAGG